GAUGAACGCUGGCGGCGUGCCUAAUACAUGCAAGUCGAGCGAACGGACGAGAAGCUUGCUUCUCUGAUGUUAGCGGCGGACGGGUGAGUAACACGUGGAUAACCUACCUAUAAGACUGGGAUAACUUCGGGAAACCGUAGCUAAUACCGGAUAAUAUUUUGAACCGCAUGGUUCAAAAGUGAAAGACGGUCUUGCUGUCACUUAUAGAUGGAUCCGCGCUGCAUUAGCUAGUUGGUAAGGUAACGGCUUACCAAGGCAACGAUGCAUAGCCGACCUGAGAGGGUGGUCGGCCACACGGGAACUGAGACACGGUCCAGACUCCUACGGGAGGCAGCAGUAGGGAAUCUUCCGCAAUGGGCGAAAGCCUGACGGAGCAACUCCGCGUGAGUGAUGAAGGUCUUCGGAGCGUAAAACUCUGUUAUUAGGGAAGAACAUAUGUGUAAGUAACUGUGCACAUCUUGACGGUACCUAAUCAGAAAGCCACGGCUAACUACGUG
rnacentral:rRNA from 1 species